rnacentral:tRNA from 1 species
CUGAUUUGUAAUCAGUAGGUCGUUGGUUCGAAUCCGACAUCCGGCA